rnacentral:rRNA from 1 species
AGAGUUUGAUCCUGGCUCAGAACGAACGCUGGCGGCAGGCUUAACACAUGCAAGUCGAACGCACCUUCGGGUGAGUGGCAGACGGGUGAGUAACGCGUGGGAACGUGCCCUUCAGUUCGGAAUAACCCAGGGAAACUUGGGCUAAUACCGGAUACGUGCGAGAGCAGAAAGAUUUAUCGCUGAAGGAUCGGCCCGCGUCUGAUUAGCUAGUUGGUGGGGUAAUGGCCCACCAAGGCGACGAUCAGUAGCUGGUCUGAGAGGAUGAUCAGCCACAUUGGGACUGAGACACGGCCCAAACUCCUACGGGAGGCAGCAGUGGGGAAUAUUGGACAAUGGGCGCAAGCCUGAUCCAGCCAUGCCGCGUGAGUGAUGAAGGCCUUAGGGUUGUAAAGCUCUUUCGGCGGGGACGAUAAUGACGGUACCCGCAGAAGAAGCCCCGGCUAACUUCGUGCCAGCAGCCGCGGUAAUACGAAGGGGGCUAGCGUUGUUCGGAAUCACUGGGCGUAAAGGGCGCGUAGGCGGCUUGAUAAGUCGGGGGUGAAAGCCUGUGGCUCAACCACAGAAUUGCCUUCGAUACUGUCUGGCUUGAGACCGGAAGAGGUAAGUGGAACUGCGAGUGUAGAGGUGAAAUUCGUAGAUAUUCGCAAGAACACCAGUGGCGAAGGCGGCUUACUGGUCCGGUUCUGNNNCUGANNNNCGAAAGCGUGGGGAGCAAACAGGAUUAGAUACCCUAGUAGUCC